AAGUACCAUUCGGCGACGGCCACAAGUAACACUGCGGAGAGGAACGGAGCAGGCAACGGGAAUGGUGUCACUUGGGCACAAUGGAUCAUCCAUCACCUCAUCAGUAGUAUCCAGCACCAGUUUCUCGAUGUUGCGGGUGAUUUUUGAAGUGCGUGGGAUUGUGAGGGUUUGAAGUGGGGUGAGUUGCUGCGCGCGAGGAGGGAAGAAUUGUUAGCCAUGGAUUGGGAGGGCCAGAGACUUGCCGAGCUGCUGAUGCAAUGGCUUUUGUUUGGCUCCGCUUUGGUGGCGUUUCUUACGGGUUGGUUUACUGCUUCCUAUAGCACUAUGCUUUACAUCUACCUCGGGGGAGUGGUGCUCGCGUUUCUAGUUUCCGUCCCUGACUGGCCCUUCUUCAAUCGGCAUCCGUUCACCUGGUUGGAGCCCAUGCACGCCGAGAAGCAAAGCCAACGGCUGCUUGCCAGACAGCAAGCUGCAGGGAAGAAGGGCACUAAGUCGCAAGCGAAGCGAUGACUUGAGCCUGUCGAAUAGGGUUCGUUACGUUUUGCGGUGACUGAUCGCUUUUGAUCUUCAAGUCCUCCCCGAGAGUUUAGCGGACGAGAGCAGAGUAGAACAGGAGUUGGAUUAUGCCGACAUGAUUGAGUAUCCUGUUUUCGAUGCUCUCUUCCCCUGCCAAGAAUUGGGCACUCCCUGCAAUAUUACUUGCUGUAGGACCCAUUUCAGCUAUCAAGGUGAGCGACAAGUUCUAAUGUGCACUAGCGAUGCACGAUGAUAUGUCAUGCUAGGUUACCUAUGCAGUCUUAGGUUACAGUUAUUUAUACAAGAAAGAGAUGUAUCCUGUGAGUGUCCUGGAUCACAGCCGUAAUUGGAAAGUAAAUUGUAAGCAGCUAUUAUUUUGCGUUUUUCC